rnacentral:rRNA from 1 species
GAUGAACGCUGGCGGCGUGCCUAAUACAUGCAAGUCGAGCGAACAGACGAGGAGCUUGCUCCUCUGACGUUAGCGGCGGACGGGUGAGUAACACGUGGAUAACCUACCUAUAAGACUGGGAUAACUUCGGGAAACCGGAGCUAAUACCGGAUAAUAUAUUGAACCGCAUGGUUCAAUAGUGAAAGACGGUUUUGCUGUCACUUAUAGAUGGAUCCGCGCCGCAUUAGCUAGUUGGUAAGGUAACGGCUUACCAAGGCAACGAUGCGUAGCCGACCUGAGAGGGUGAUCGGCCACACUGUAACUGAGACACGGUCCAGACUCCUACGGGAGGAAGCAGUAGGGACUCUUCCGCAAUGGGCGAAAGCCUGACGGAGCAACGCCGCGUGAGUGAUGAAGGUCUUCGGAUCGUAAAACUCUGUUAUUAGGGAAGAACAAAUGUGUAAGUAACUAUGCACGUCUUGACGGUACCUAAUCAGAAAGCCACGGCUAACUACGUG